GGAAGUUGUUCUGCAGGUAGUCCGUGAGCAUGACGUAGCCGGCCUGCUGCAUGGUCAUCACCUCGCAGAAGACCUCCAGCUGGGACGGCGGAGACAGAGAGAGACGCGCAAGGCUCGUCACAAAGGUCCCGCUCGCGGUCGCUCGUCGGGGCCACGCGCGGCGCCUGAAGAGACGACGUGCCGGAGGACGCCGGGUUACUCCUGACAGCAGAUGGGGAGGUGAAUUAUUGAUGGGCUCCGCCUGCUUUCUACACGAGGCUUUUCCCCAGAGACGUCGAGAACGCAUUUUGAGGGCUAUUUUUAAGAGUUUGCGAUUUCCGGCCGCGCGCAAGGGCUGAGGGUGGAGCUCUGCCGGCGGAGCUCUGCCGGCGCGACAGCCCCAGGUCUCACGCACGUCCAGAAAGCAGAGCGGCAUCUACACGGACAACACGGCGGUAAAAGCGAGGAGAGAAAGGAGUCGUCGCGGCCGGGCUGUCGUCCCCUUAGAGAUGGGGAGGGGUGUGAGCUCGGCGGAAAACGCUGGAAGCGUAUCGGGGACAGCGGCUCGCUCCCCUUCUCUCGGGCCGGGAGGGAAGGAGGCGCUGAGGUACAUCGGUGAUCACGUGACACCUGCAGGGGUAUCGCUCCGCACGACAGCGGUUGCCAGAUGUCACGCCUCAGACAGCGCGACCCGCCCCUGCACCAACUGACGACCAUUGACGGGCAA